rnacentral:rRNA from 1 species
UACGUAGGGCAAGCGUUGUCCGGAAUCAUUGGCGUAAAGAGCGCGUAGGCGGCCUGUAAGUCCGCUGUGAAAGUCAAGGCUCAACCCUUGGAUGCCGGUGGAUACUGCAAGGCUAGAGUCCGGAAGAGGCGAGUGGAAUUCCGUGGUGUAGCGGUGAAAUGCGCAGAUAUCAGGAGGAACACCGAUGGCGAAAGGCAGCUCGCUGGGACGGUACUGGACGCUGAGGCGACGAAAGCGUGGGAGCAAACAGGA